CCGCGACGGGCCCGGAGACGGUCCGAAGGACGGAGCCGAAGCGCGCGCGGUGAUUGGCUGGAAUAGCGACAGGUAGCGCCCGUCGAUUGGCCCAGGAAUGGACCAAUGGCGCGUCGGCAGCCGCGCAGCGCCUAUAAAAGCGCGAGGACGCAGCGCGGCGCUCCCUUUCGGGGGUUGGCGGUUCGUGGCGCUGAUGGUCGUUCGUCGUCCCGUCCUCAUCUGCCCGGGCCGCGCUUUGCGAGCGGCUGCGUCCGUUCCGGAGCAGCACCAUUGCUGUGGGCUCCUGCAGCAGGACCUGGCUGAGCUCUGCACCCCAACCGGCAUCGCCUCCGUCCCCACGGUCACCGUGCGGCCGUUCUCUGUAGAGCCGAGGGUGCAGAGCCCUGCAGACUGGCAGAGCUGCAUCCGCGUGUUGCUGCUGAACGACGGAGUGUCUGCGGGGUCUUCCUGCGAGGUGGGGAAGCAGCAGUGGGGAGGAGUGAGCUGUGCUGCCCCCCCCAGCCCCUAGGAUGGCUGCGAGGCCGCUGUAGAGGCUUUUUGCUCAUCCCAUUCCUUGCAUCUGCCAGGCUGGAAAGUGGAGGAGGAGAUGCUGGGUGUCUUGAGGAAGUGCCUGCCCACCCUGGGCAGCCUGCAGCACCUGUUGGGAGUGUGUGUGUGUGUGUGGGGGGUGCGGGCGGCCCCCAGGCGGUGCUCAGUGAUGGGGAUGGCCGACUGAUGCCAUCUGUCCCUGCAGCCUCAGUGGUGCUGGGCUGACGGACCGCACACUGCCUGCGAUGGGGCGUCCUCAGCAAUGUCCUGCCUGCCCCGGGCACCCUGCGGGCCCUGCAGUCCCCGCGUGGGGGUCUUUUAUAGCCAGGCUCUGCCACGGGGCCGCUCCAUGCGGGCCGUGCCGUGAAAUGGCGGCUGCUGUGCUGCUCCUCGCUCCGCCCACACGGCUCAGAGCCGGGCUGGGGGGGCUGCCGCGCUCCCCUCCGCUGCUGGGGGCUGCUGGGGGCUGCUCGGACUGACGCGCAGAAGGCAGACCCUAUAGCCGGUAAGGAUAUGGAGCAGGCAUGUGUUGGGUGACACACGUACACCCUGGUGCGAGGGGGAUCACUCCACCUGACCUGCACACGGUCAGGAAAAAGCGUGCUGCAGGUAUAGGCUGAACCAAUACGUAAUCAAUAGCUGACAGGAAUUCGGAGACACAUUCAUUACAUUCCCGGAGCCCAUUAGCGUGCAGCCCCUCCCCCCUUUGUGCAUUGUAGGUCGUGAUGAUGAAGGCUCAUAGCCUUCCUCGCUGCAAACUUCUGACCCCGAAGGGGGGGCAGCCCCCGAACCGGAUUCAAUUUGCCCUGUAGACAUUGAAUCACCUCCCUGCCAAAUGUGUUGGAGCUGCUCUCCAGUCCUUAUCUUUACGGCCUUCAUCCUCCUUGUUAUUCCAGACCUGGUGUCUGUGAAGGCGCCUGGAAUCCCUUCUUUUCUAAUAUUCCUACCUAAACUCUCUCUAUCUGCCCCUUAUUUCUAAUCUGAGAAGCUGCUUUCCCUCUUCCUGCUGUGAGGCCCUUCUCCCUAUUACUGCAGGGUCCUCUUCUCACUCUUCAGGACGCGUUUCUUCUGCUGUGGUUUGGAGCCCCCCAGGACGGCCCUUCCUCAUCAGCCCCCCUCCCACGCCGGGUGGGCUCUGCCUCUGCUUCCAUCCGUGCCGUUUCCCCUCAUCCCGUCCCUGCAGACCGCUGAGAAGAGGUUGGCCGCGUCCCUUUGGCUCCCACAGAGAUGGAUGGACCCCGAGCAGAUCCCCUCUCAGCCUCCCUUUCUCAGGGCUGAACAGCCCCGGGUCGCUCAGCCUCUCCUCGCAGGGAGAUGCUCCAGGCCCUGCAUCACCUCUGAGCCCUCCGCUGGGCUCCCUCCAGGAGAUCGCUGUCUGUUUUGUGCUGGGAGCCCGGAACUGAACCCGGUAUGCCAAACGUUGGAAUGAAAGCAUUGGAAGGAAGGGAAGCCAUCCAUUGGGACCCGGGCAGGCUGGAGAAGCGGGCCCGUGAGAACCUAACGAGGUUCAAUAAGGCCAAGUGCAGAGUGCUGCAUUGGGUCGGGGCGAUCCCAGGUGUUUAUGCAGACUGGGGGAGGAUCUCCUUGAGAGCAGCCCUGCGGAGAAGGACGUGGGGGGUCCUGGGGGACGGGAACUGCACAUGAGCCAGCUGACGUGCGGCAAUCAGACCCUACAGGUAAGGAUAUAGAGCAGGUAUGUGUUUAUUGGUGACGCGCGUACACCCCGGUGCAAGGGGGAUCAUUCCACUGUCCGAAGAAAUGGUGCUGUAGAUAUAGGUGAAACUAAUACAUAAUCAGUAGUUGACAGGAAUUCGGAUCCACAUUCACUACAUUCCCGAGAGCCCAUCAGCAUGCAGUCCCUCCCCCCGUUGCACGUGCGUGGUAGGCCGUGAUGAUGAAGGCUCGGAGUCUUCCUCGCGAAGGCUCAUAGUCUUCCUCGCUGCAAACUUCUGACCCUGAAGGGGGGGCAUCCCCCAAUCUGGUUCCAGCUCACACUGCAGACAUCUCAUCGCCUCCCUGCCAAAUGUUUUCGAGCUGUUCUCCGGUCCUUAUCUUUAUGGCCUUCACUCUCCUUGUUAUUCUGGACCUAGCGCCUGUGAAAGUGCUUGGAACCCCACGUUUUCUAACACUCUCUACAUAAACUAUCUCUAUUUGCCCCUUAUGUCUACCUUGUGAAGCUGCUUUGUCUUUUCUUGCUAUGAAGCCCUUCUUUCUGUACUGCAGGGACCCGAUUUUGCCCUUCACAGCAGUGUGCGCCUGCAGCCCGGACGGCCAACUGUGUGCUGGGCUGCAUCAAAACGGGGGUGGCCAGCAGGGAGAGGGAGGGGACUGUGCCCCUCUGCUCAGCUCCGGGGGGGCCCCAUCUGCAGUACUGCGUCCAGGCCUGGGGCUGCGAGCAUAGGAAGGACGUGGAGCUCUUGGAGUGGGUCCAGAGGGGCACUGAGAUGCUCAGAGGGCCAUUAAGAUGGUCAGAGGGCUGGAGCACCUCCUAUGGGGGAAGGUGGAGGGAAUUGGGCUUGUUCAGCUUGGAGAAGAGAAGGCUCCGGGGAGACCUCAUUGCGGCCUUGCAGUACUUGAAGGGAGCGUAUAAACAGGAGGGGGGAUGGCUGCUGAUGUGGGUUGAUAGCGAUAGGACAAGGGGGAGUGGUCUUAAACUGAGACAGGGGAGGGUUAGGUUGGAUAUUGGGAAGUUUUUCCCCCAGAGGUGGUGACGCACUGAACAGGUUGCCCAAGGAGGGGUGGAUGCCCCAUCCCUGCAGGCAUUCCAGGCCAGGCUGGAUGUGGCUCUGGGCAGCCUGGGCUGCUGGUUGGUGACCCUGCACACAGCAGGGGGUUGGAACUGAUGAGCACUGUGGUCCUUUGCAACCCAGGCCGUGCUAUGAGGUCCUUUCCAACCUGAGUAAUUCUAUGAUUCUCUGAUGCUAUGGGUCCUAAUGGUGUCCUAUGGGUCCUUAUGGCACCCUAUGGGUUCUCUGGGCUGCUGGUUGGUGACUGUGCACAUAGCAGUGGGUUGGAGCUGAUGGUCAUUGUGGUCCUUUUCAACCCAGGCCGUUCUGAGUCAGUGAUGCUAUGGGUCCGUAUGGCACCCUAUGGGUUCUCUGUGCAGCCUGGGCUGCUGGUUGGUGACCCUGCACACAGCAGGGGUUGGAACGGAUGGUCAUUGCGGCUCUUUUCAACCCAGGCCGUUCUGUGCUCAUUCUCUAGGCUCCAUUUCGGGGACCCUUUUCCCCGUUUCGGGAGCUCCGCGACGCUGCUCGGAACGCCCCGGAAUUACCGCCCGAUCCCCGCU
rnacentral:lncRNA from 7 species